rfam:Haemonchus placei strain MHpl1 genome assembly, scaffold: HPLM_scaffold0003631
GUCCCAAAUUUUAAGUAGAGUAGAUCAGAAGGAUCAUCUGACCCUACUAAACUACUCUGCUUAAAGUUUGUGCCC